rnacentral:rRNA from 1 species
UACGUAGGGGGCAAGCGUUGUCCGGAAUCAUUGGGCGUAAAGCGCGUGUAGGCGGCCCGAUAAGUCCGCUGUGAAAGUCCAGGGCUCAACCCUGGAAUGCCGGUGGAUACUGCAGGGCUAGAGUCCGGAAGAGGCGAGUGGAAUUCCUGGUGUAGCGGUGAAAUGCGCAGAUAUCAGGAGGAACACCGGUGGCGAAGGCGGAUCUCUGGGCCUUACCUGACGCUCAGGUGCGAAAGCUAGGGGAGCGAACAGG